AUAUUCUAUUUAAGCGCUCCAAAGACAGCAGGUGACUUAUGGUGUAAAUCCUGCCGAGGAUGGCAUCAUAUUUUUGAUUGCUUACAACCUUCGUGUCUUUGUGCACGGAGGUUUUCUUUAUGAGCGU
rfam:Firmicutes bacterium CAG:240 genomic scaffold, scf279